AACGAACGCUGGCGGCAGGCUUAACACAUGCGAGUCGAGCGCCCCGCAAGGGGAGCGGCAGACGGGUGAGUAACGCGUGGGAAUCUACCCAUCUCUACGGAAUAACGCAUGGAAACGUGUGCUAAUACCGUAUACGUCCUUCGGGAGAAAGAUUUAUCGGAGAUGGAUGAGCCCGCGUUGGAUUAGCUAGUUGGUGGGGUAAAGGCCUACCAAGGCGACGAUCCAUAGCUGGUCUGAGAGGAUGAUCAGCCACACUGGGACUGAGACACGGCCCAGACUCCUACGGGAGGCAGCAGUGGGGAAUAUUGGACAAUGGGCGCAAGCCUGAUCCAGCCAUGCCGCGUGAGUGAUGAAGGCCCUAGGGUUGUACAGCUCUUUCACCGGUGAAGAUAAUGACGGUAACCGGAGAAGAAGCCCCGGCUAACUUCGUGCCAGCCGCCGCAGUAACAC
rnacentral:rRNA from 1 species